AUUUAUACGUGAAAAGAAAACAAAAAAAAGAAAACAAACAAUAAAAGAAUACAAAAAUAAAAUUUAUUUUUCUCGCUUUUAAAAUUUGUUUUUUCUUUUUUUCUUUUUUUUUUUGUUUCUGAU
rnacentral:ribozyme from 1 species